GAGACCCACGCCAACAGUUGCCAGCAUGUCCUCCGGGAUGAUGGGGACACUGUUGGGACCGCCUCUGCUAAAGAGGAGGAAGGAAUGGGCAACGGUAGGUCAGCAUGCCCCGAAUUACCCGGGCUACACGCGGGCUACAAUGGGCAGGACAAUGGGUAUCGACACCGAGAGGUGAAGGCAAUCUCCUAAACCCAUCCUUAGUUCGGAUUGUGGGCUGCAACUCGCCCACAUGAAGCUGGAAUCUGUAGUAAUCGUGUCUCAACAUGGCACGGUGAAUAU
rnacentral:rRNA from 1 species